AUGGACAUUAGAGCUAGCAAAUAUGCUCAUAAAUUGUUUAGUAUUCACCAGAAUACUUUUAUUAAGGGGAGACACAUAGUGGAUGGUAUCCUAUCUAUUCAUGAAGUUCUGCAUUAUACUCAUUUCGGAAAGCAAGUGGGAGUGGUUCUUAAACUUGAUUUCGAGAAAGCAUAUGACAAAGUCAAUUGGGAUUUUUUACUUGAUUGUCAUAGGAAGCAUGGGUUUAAUUCUAAGUGGUGCGGGUGGGUCUCUCAAAUCCUGAAAAAUGGCACGCUUAGUGUCAAGAUCAAUGAUGAGGUGGGACCUUACAUCCAAAGUGCUAAGGGGGUGAGACAGGGGGAUCCUCACUCCCCUUUCUUGUUUAAUAUUGCGGCUGACUGCCUGACCAAAAUGGUACUUGCAGCGCAAAACAAUGGUCUCAUUAAAUGA
rnacentral:rRNA from 1 species